GGAAAAUGCUUCAAAACAUCAACUCUGCUAACAGUUCAUCAGAGAACAGACACAGGAGAGAAGCCUUAUUCCUGCUCUGUGGAGGGGUGGGCGUGUAACUCAAACUUCUAGCCAAAGGCUGCUGUGUUUAGAAUCUCAUCAAGGAGGACUUUAGCAUUUUAGCAACUUUGCAACUACUUACUACUUUUUAGCUAUUACUUAGCAUGUUAGCUUAGCAUGUUAGCUUAGCAUGUAACUACUUAGUAUGU